rnacentral:rRNA from 1 species
UACGUAGGUGGCAAGCGUUGUCCGGAUUUAUUGGGUUUAAAGGGUGCGUAGGCGGCCCUGUAAGUCAGUGCUGAAAUAUCCCGGCUUAACCGGGAGGGUGGCAUUGAUACUGCGGGGCUAGAGUACAGAUGAGGUAGGCGGAAUUGACGGUGUAGCGGUGAAAUGCUUAGAUAUUGGGAGGAACACCAGUGGCGAAGGCGGCUCACUGGACCGGUACUGACGCUGAGGCGCGAAAGCGUGGGGAGCAAACAGG